rnacentral:rRNA from 1 species
GACGGAGGGGGCUAGCGUUGCUCGGAAUCACUGGGCGUAAAGGGUGCGUAGGCGGGUCUUUAAGUCAGGGGUGAAAUCCUGGAGCUCAACUCCAGAACUGCCUUUGAUACUGAAGAUCUUGAGUUCGUGAGAGGUGAGUGGAACUGCGAGUGUAGAGGUGAAAUUCGUAGAUAUUCGCAAGAACACCAGUGGCGAAGGCGGCUCACUGGCCCGAUACUGACGCUGAGGCACGAAAGCGUGGGGAGCAAACAGG